GAACGUGCUAAUGAAGACAGCCAGAGAAGUUACCAGCUACUUAGCUUUGUAGAAAAGUUACUUAAUUUUUUUUUUUUUUUGGUUGUUAUUACUGGGUAUUUUUUUUGUUUUGUUUUGUUUUGUUUUGUUUUUUGUUUUGGUUCCCAAACAGUGUUCUUAAACAGUUGUUUGGUCUCAAAAAAAGCACGUCAUAGUUAAUGGUAUGCUGCUUUUCACUCAGUCUAAUGCUAGACACUCAUGUGAUCUAUGUACCUUUCUCUUUCUCUCCUUCCAAACUGUUAAUUUUUAUCUUUCAAGAUUGAUCAGGGGUUGGAGAGAUGACUUAGCAGUUAAGAGCAUGUGUUACUCCUGUGGAGGACCUGGGUUUGAUUUCCAGAACCCACAUGGUUCACAACCACGAAUAACUCCAGUUCCAGGGGAUCUGAUACCUCUUCUGACUGUGAGGGUCAGCAUGCACAUCUAUCUGGAGGUUAGAGACUGACAUCAGGUGUCUUCUAUCUUAUAUUUUGAAGUGGAGUCUCCAACUUGGAGCUCAUUGAUUGACUGGGCUGACUGGCCAGCAAACCCCAGGAAUCCCCCUGUCUCUGCCUUGCCAGGUCUGAGAUUACUGGCAAAUGCUACCACUCCCAGCUUUUUAUGUGAAGGCAGGCUGUCUGGACUCAGGUUCUCAUGUUUCUGUGGCAAGCACUUUACUAACUAUGCCAUCUCUUAUAGGCUUAAAUUUUUUAAUGACCUACUCUUAAUGAUGGGUCUUAAAUGCUUUAACCUCCCUUCUAGCCCAGCACCCACCAGAGAUAGUGGAAAAGAAAGGUUAUUAGGAUACUGGGGAAGUGGACCUGUUUAGAAAUUGUUCUUUGGAGCAAAUUCCUUCUGCUUUGUCAGGUAAUCAGCAGAUCAGUUUACAGGUCAGCAGUGGCAUGACUCAGCAGAGACAGCCAGGCCCCAGCUGAAUUGUCAUGAGUCAGCAGGAGGGACCAGGACCACCAGGGAUGGUGGCCAGGAGAAGUUCUUUACCACCCCUCUCUCAAGGAAGCAAAGAUGUGAGACCAGGAAGUGUUGCGAAGCUAGCUGUGCAAGCAAGCCAAGCCCCAGUCACUGUCUGUUGAGUCUUAUUUAUACUCCCGCCAAACAUCAUGUGUCCUCCAUGAUUCUUAGCAAAAUGCCUUGUGAGUCUGUGUCAGCUGACAUUACUCUGCCAAUUGGCCCAAGUCUGUGGAAGUGACAAGAAGCCGUAGGAACCUCGAGAGAAGUUUUUUGGUGUGUUUCUCUCUAUGGAGUCCUGACAAGAGGAGCUCAGCAAUGCAUGUAAGGUGGACCAAUGCAUGUGUGUCCUCAGCGAAGACUCCUUUAUCACAUAUCCUUUCAUCUGGGUCUGCUUCAGCAAAACACUGUGAUACAACCGACUUUCCAAAGAACCCUUAAGUUUCCACUCUAAUCUCUUAACAUUAAAAUGAGAUUCUAUUAUAGUUGAAGAAAAGGCUACCAAUUUCUGUUAGCUCCUUUUCCUCUGUCUCCAUAUUCAAGACUAUUUUCUGAACCACUUGUUGCUUUUAUCACAGGUCAGGCCCUCAUCAUUUUUCUGUACAUUUGUGUGCUUUCUCUUUUAUUCCUUCUGGUUCCUUAAUUUGGAAAGACUUCCACAUGUGGAAAUAUCUUUAUUACUUUUUUCUGGAGUACAAAUCUAAACCUACCCUGGGUUCCCUCACUUAUCUACAGCUUAAAAGCUUCUACGGACUCUCUAAUAAUCAACAAUAAACUGUGAUUCACUGCACAUAAUCCUUAAGGCUUUGCCCUACUGUCCAGGCACCGCCACACUGAUGUUCGUCUCUUAAGUUCUGUGUUUUGUACCUUUUUUUGUUUUUGGUUUUUUUUUUUGCAUCUCUACCUUGGUUUUAGUUUUGAAUUAUUUUGGGGAGGUGUCUCUGAUAAGUGGUUCUUCCCUCUCUGCCCUCAUACUACUUACAAAUAUGUUUAUUAUUCUAAGGCUUUCUGAAUUAAUGUUUUGAAAAGUCAACAUAUGCAAAUGGCCAAGUUUUAACAGUACAAAGAUGAUUUGAUGGUAUAUUUUUUUUUCAUCUUGGUUAGUCUGCAGUUGCUGUUAAUGUGUUGUGAUGGUUUGAGUGAGAAUUCCCCCCCCCCCCCCCCCGACCCUCAUAUGUUUAAAUACAUGGUCCCCAGUUGGUGGACUGUUUGGGGAAGGUUAGGAGGUAUGGUCUUGUUGUAGAGAUAUGUCACUGGGGCUUGGACUCUGAGGUUUGAAAAGAUAUGUCACUGGAGCUGGGACUCUGAGGUUUGAAAAGCCCUCACUAUUCCCAUUUAGUUUUCUUUGCCUCCUACUUUUGGGUAAGGCUGUAAGCUCACAACUACUUUUUCAGUUUUGUGCCUGCCUGUCUGCUGCCAUACUCACUGCCAUGAUUGUCAUGGACUCACCCUCUGCAAUUGUAAGCCCCAAUAAACUCUUUCAUGAGUUGCCUUCAUCAUGGGGCAAUAAAGAAACCAUGAUAUGUACAUUUGUUAGCUUCCUGUCUUGAUCUAAACAAACAAACAAACAAACAAACCAGAGAUAAUUAAUUUUCAAAGAAAAAAGCUUUAUUUUGGGUCAUAGUUUGGAGUUUCUAGGCAACAGUUGGUUGGGCAGAUCUAUUUGGACCUUUGUCCAGUGGCAGUGAUGGGUAGUGGGUGAUAUAGUAAAUGUUGUGUCUAAGAAGCCAAGGAGAGAAGGACCUGGAAGUGUAUAACCCUCCUUAGCAGCAUGCCUCUGAUGACCUAAGGACUUCCAUAAGAAUGUGAAGGAACAGUAGGCAGCCUUUGUGUUCCAGCCAUGUGGCAUGGGACUGAGCUAAGGACUUUGUACCUCUCAGUACUUCUGCCCUGGAAGGUCCUUUAACACAAUUGCUUUUUGGGGACAUUUGACAUCUAAACUGUAGCUAACAUGUUUGUUUCACUGACCACUAUCAUUUCUUUGAGGAUUAGGUGUUCUUUUAUUUUUAUCUUACUCAACAAAAUGUCUGGCAUAAAAUAGGCACUAAAAAUUAAUCUGUAGUCUGUGGCUGUGGGCCAGCUCUUCCUGGCUGAAGGUAGAUGUAUCCCUCAAACUCUUAUUAUACGUAGACUAGUCAGUACAUGUGCUUAGUCAUUAAUUAAGUACUGCUUGAUUACUGUGGUUUUUUUUAAAAAAGUAAACAGUUUCUUUGUUCUGGUUCACCUUUCUAUUGAAGUUGACUUUUACCUCAUUUAUGGCUAUACAUUUUUAAAAAUAGUUUUUGACAAUUCUAAAAGAUGUUUAUGUCAAUUUCCGUACAAAUAUAAAUUUUUCAUUUUAAAGUUUUCAAACUAUGUUGUAUAGCUGAGAAAAAAUUACAUUAGGAUUUACUUAAAGAAUGUAUUUCAGGAUACAUUAGAUCAUUGAGUAACAUUUUGUGUAUUAGCCCUGUGGUGCGAACAGAACAGACUGUAAUACACACAUCAAAAGUGCUGCUGGCUCAUAAUUUCCCAUGUUAUACGUCACAGAGCCUAUAUACUGAAAAACUUUGAAAUGAAUUUGAAGUAUGAUUUUGUUAAGAGUCAUCUUUGCAUUUUGAAUCACAAUGAUAGAUUUAUAAUUUACUACAAAUAAGCUUUUGAAGUUGGCUGGUUACAGUAUCUUACCAGAAAUUUACCAGUUAAGUCGUCAUGCAGUAGAAAGUAUGAUUGUAAGAAAAUAAUAAUGUAAUUCAGUGUUUGGUGGUUGAUUGCUAACCACUCAAAUACAUAUCUUCUUCCUUUCCUCUUUCCCUGACUUCCCCUGUUUUUCUCUAAAUCAUAAUUAUUGAGCUUGGCAUGUUGCCAGGGCUCUGAAGGGUCUGCUCCCAGCUGCACUUCAGGUUCUGGCAAAGUGUCAAAAUGUGACAUUUAUUCUCUUUACAAAUCAUGGGAUGGCUAGCCAACUGCCUGUAGAGUGCCUAGUGCAGAGUUGUCUUUGGGUUUGGAGUAAAUUUCGAAUUUCUGUUUGUAAGUGAAGCAAAUGCCUGAUGAGUGUUAUCACUAGACUUUUUAAUAUUUUGAAAAACAACAAAAACAGCAUUCACUUUGGGGGAAUGAAAUAUUUAAAGUAUUGUUUUGAAAUGCUCAAAGGCAUAGAGCAUGUGCUUUUUAAUGAAAUGUAUUUGGAAGCUUUCCAUAAGCAUCAGCAGCUGUGCUUUUUGAAUGUCUUGAAUUGCCACACUUUUGGGCAGACAUUGUACUAUUCAUUGCUUUAAAAAGUUGAAUGCCUGUGUAGGAGAAGAUGUAAUAUGUAGGUCUGUAGAUAUGGGGUCAGUCAAAAGUGGUCAUAAGGGUGCGUGUGUGCACUUAUAUCGUUGUUAGAGUUGUAAAGAAGGGACAAGGAAAUGUUUGGUUAAAAGUUGGUGUUCGUAGAACUAAUUGCCUUUCAGAGACAUUCUGUAGACACUAAAUUACUAAGAUGCCUUAUUUUUUUCUUGUUAUGGCUUAAAUUAUAUGCUUAUUUUAAAAGGAUCUUUUAAAAAAUUUUAUGUGUACGAAUGUUGCCUGCAUGUAUACAGUGUGGUGCCUGCAGAGGCCAGAAGAGGGCAUUGGGUUUCCUGGAGCUGGAGUUGGAAAUGAUUGUUAGCCAUCAUGUGAGUGCUGGAAGCUGAAUCUGGGUCUUUUGUAAAAACAACUUGCAGUGUGUUAUCUUAACUGCUGGACCCUCUCUCCAACUUCUGAAUUAUGUACUUUAAAAAUUUGCAUUAUGGAUAUAUUUAGUUGGUAAACUUUUUAUUAUAGAUUCCUAUGCAUGCACGUGUGUCUGUUUUGAGUGUCUAAUAAAUGGACAGGUAUCUGAGUCACUGGUUGAAAUUAAAGCUAUAUGACUAAUCAAUUUAAAAUUAUAGUACAGGUUUUGAGAAUAACAGCCAGGGCUAUAUAGAGAAACCCUGUCUCGAAAAACC
rnacentral:lncRNA from 1 species